rnacentral:tRNA from 1 species
UCCCGUGUGGCUCAGUUGGUAGAGCAUGGCGCUCGUAAUGCCAGGAUUGUGGGUUUGACCCUACGGGGGAC